GCGGGUGUAGCUCAAUGGUUAGAGCGAUGCCUUGCCAAGGCAUAGGUUGUGAGUUCGAGUCUCAUCACCCGCU
rnacentral:tRNA from 1 species